rnacentral:rRNA from 1 species
UACAGAGGUCCCGAGCGUUGUUCGGAUUCACUGGGCGUAAAGGGUGCGUAGGUGGUCGGGUAAGUCUGAGGUGAAAUCUCCGAGCUCAACUCGGAAACUGCCUUGGAUACUAUUCGGCUAGAGGGUUGGAGGGGGGACUGGAAUUCUCGGUGUAGCAGUGAAAUGCGUAGAUAUCGAGAGGAACACCAGUGGCGAAGGCGAGUCCCUGGACAACUCCUGACACUGAGGCACGAAAGCUAGGGGAGCAAACAGG